rnacentral:lncRNA from 1 species
ACUUGUUCUAUUCAUUCAGCUAGUCGUCACACAAUAAUGACACUAGAAUCCACAGGAUUCUUUGAAUAGACCUUAUCUAUCACCAAGAUGACAACAAUCUCUCUGUGAAUACAACACGUUGAGCCACUUUAUUCACUAGACCAGAAAUCACACGUUAAUUAAGAGCAUCAAGAGGCACUUGCACGAGUUUUUUUGAUCUUCCACGGAGCAGAAGCUGAAGGUUUCUAGAUCUGCAAACCUGCCACUAGGUAAUUGUGCCACUAAACCUGAUUAUGGAGAUAAAUUGCCCUGGCAGAGAUCAUACAGGUACUUCAAUCCCCCUAGCAGCCAGUGGGUUUCCACAGAAAGGUGCUUGGCGAUUAAUAUCUACCUAUUAAGAACUUCUUAUAAAAGUUUGUUUAUCAACUCUAAGAAUAAUUAUAUGAUUUAUGACUAUAUAUUUGUCACAACAAACUAUGGACAGAAAUCAACGAAGAAAAAUAAAUGACAAGAACACAAGAUUUAUGUAAAAACCCAAUCGAAAAUAAACUACGGGCGGGAGGCAGAUGAUAUUCAUGUGGAGAAUACAAACUGUGAAGAGAUCACACCCCAAAACACCUAAUAGACCCAACUGUUUGCCUCACUAACACCUUUUUGUAAGUUUUUGGGGUAAGGAAUGCUAAGGAUUUUUAAGUAUGGAAAUGAUAGGAUAGGAAAGGACAUGAAAUUUACUUUCCUUAGUUCUGUUUGUAAGUUUACUAUGACAGGGUUAUAAAAUCCAUCUAAUCCAUCUCAAAGACAAAUUGGCCUGGGACUAAAACUUGUUUUUUAAGCAAAAACAAUUCGGUUAAACCGAACAAUGAAAUCCAUCAAAUUUAGCUAAACCCGAAUAACCUAUUUU